rnacentral:rRNA from 1 species
GGUAAGUUCCGACCUGCACGAAUGGCGUAAUGAUGGCCAGGCUGUCUCCACCCGAGACUCAGUGAAAUUGAACUCGCUGUGAAGAUGCAGUGUACCCGCGGCAAGACGGAAAGACCCCGUGAACCUUUACUAUAGCUUGACACUGAACAUUGAGCCUUGAUGUGUAGGAUAGGUGGGAGGCUUUGAAGUGUGGACGCCAGUCUGCAUGGAGCCGACCUUGAAAUACCACCCUUUAAUGUUUGAUGUUCUAACGUGGACCCGUGAUCCGGGUUGCGGACAGUGUCUGGUGGGUAGUUUGACUGGGGCGGUCUCCUCCUAAAGAGUAACGGAGGAGCACGAAGGUUGGCUAAUCCUGGUCGGACAUCAGGAGGUUAGUGCAAUGGCAUAAGCCAGCUUGACUGCGAGCGUGACGGCGCGAGCAGGUGCGAAAGCAGGUCAUAGUGAUCCGGUGGUUCUGAAUGGAAGGGCCAUCGCUCAACGGAUAAAAGGUACUCCGGGGAUAACAGGCUGAUACCGCCCAAGAGUUCAUAUCGACGGCGGUGUUUGGCACCUCGAUGUCGGCUCAUCACAUCCUGGGGCUGAAGUAGGUCCCAAGGGUAUGGCUGUUCGCCAUUUAAAGUGGUACGCGAGCUGGGUUUAGAACGUCGUGAGACAGUUCGGUCCCUAUCUGCCGUGGGCGCUGGAGAACUGAGGGGGGCUGCUCCUAGUACGAGAGGACCGGAGUGGACGCAUCACUGGUGUUCGGGUUGUCAUGCCAAUGGCACUGCCCGGUAGCUAAAUGCGGAAGAGAUAAGUGCUGAAAGCAUCUAAGCACGAAACUUGCCCCGA